AUGUGGCUGCAGAACCUUUAACAAGCACUGACAGUUGGGGCUGGGUCAUCUACCAAUAAGCAGUCUUGACGUCAUACUUCACUGAAGGCUUGGCUAUUAUGUCAUGAGCAACCUCUGCAGCCAAUGGCAAAGGGAGGAGAGACAGUCCAGAUGUGGUCCACACUAAUGAACUGGAGUAUCACAAGCAUACACCCAGAUGCAUCUUCAUGGUUGCUUGUGGAAGAGAAGAAAAAGCUUCACCCAAUGACAAAAGGAUCUGACAUGAGGAAUCACUCAAAUAUUAACCGAAUGAAGAUGAACUAUUCUAUUUUUUUCCCACUUACCUG